rnacentral:rRNA from 1 species
UGCCAGCCGCCGCGGUAAUACGGAGGGUGCAAGCGUUGUUCGGAAUUAUUGGGCGUAAAGCGCGUGUAGGCGGUUCGUUAAGUCUGAUGUGAAAGCCCGGGGCUCAACCUGGGAAUGGCAUUCAGAACUGCACGACUAGAGUACAGUAGAGGGUGGUAGAAUUUCCUGUGUAGCGGUGAAAUGCGUAGAUAUAGGAAGGAAUACCGGUGGCGAAGGCGGCCACCUGGACUGAUACUGACGCUGAGGUGCGAAAGCGUGGGGAGCAAACAGGAUUAGAUA